rnacentral:lncRNA from 1 species
AUGUUUGUCCAGUAACUUCUUUGCGCUAUUGGCUUUAAUUAUCAAGACAUAGACAGUUCUAUGCUUCUAAGGUCGUGUUUUAUGGUUAUAGGUGCUAUAAGGUUAGCUACAGACUCGGAGAGAUGGACCUCAGCAUCUGAUGUUCAACCAUUCAAAGUUUCUACUGCAUACAGAGUAUCAUUCUUAGGUCCUCAAUUGUCUAUUCUCAGGGGCAGUAGCAAGGUGAUUAGUUUAUGGAGCUUUAACUAGUAGAGCAUUCUCUUCCUUUCAGGGGCAGCAUUGACUUUCGAACUCUAUUUAACAUGAACGGUAAAUCUGAUAUCAAUGGAUUUAACUCUAUUUAAUAGCAGUGGUUUAACUUGUUUAGUCUUAUAAGUGGCAUAAAAUCAAUAGUAAUCUUUUUGUCAUUUGGGCAUGCAAUGUUAGAUAAAAUGAGGUCUGAUGAAUUGGUCUUGUUUGCUUCUCUGGCAGGCUUUUAGAAAUGUGUUGGAUAUGUACUUUGGAGUAAAUCUUGAUGUACGUAAAGUGGAAUUGUUAAAGGUGGUUAUCAGUGGUCAGGAGGUAAAGACCAAUAGUAUGUAUUCAACUAUUCACAUUAUGUACUAUGUGCCUUAAUUUCAAAUAAGGUUGUUCUUUAUAUUUGCAAGUUUCUGAAAAAAUAAUCUUGUAUAAAGUUUCAUUUUUAGGGGUCGGUUCGACGCUUUGUAGAGGUUCCACUUCAGGGGUCCUUCAUGGCAACAUUAACUCUUGGCGCGUAAGUCUUUGACUUGAGAUGUAUUUCUUUCUUACUGUUUUUUCUUCUUCUAUAGAAAUAGUGUGUCAAUUAUGAACUUUGAACAAAUUACCUGCAAGAAAAUGGGCCACAUGAUGAUAAGGUGUUCAUAUGCAAUUUAUAUUUCUUGUUAAGAUAUGCUUACACAAUUAGUACAUGAAAUUUGUUCUGCUUUCUUUCUUCUCGUUAUUGCUUACAUGAAUAAGAAUGAUUUUUAAUGAGAGACUACAAUUCAUAUAUUUUGUAGGUAAUUCCAUGAUACUUCAUGAGUGUGGCUGAAUUUGAACAACAAGGCAAUGUAGCUAAGGAAAAAGAUAAGAUUUACUGAUAUGUUGUUCGAGUCGACGGUGGUGACGACAUAACAAUGGUGCAACUGAAGGUAAAUAGUUCUGUCAGACUGCAGACUAUUUUUUCAUGUUACUGGUAGUUCUGAGUUCCUCUGUUUAUAUACUAUUGUCUGUUUUAUGUCACACAAAGAGGGCUUGUCCUCCUGGAUGUUGAUAGUAGAAGAAACCUGACGAUGCAACCCCUGGUUGCGUGCUGAUCAGGAGUUGUAAUACUUUUAUCUUAAUUAUCAAUAAAUUUUAACUUUCAUAAUAUUAUAGAAGAUAUCAUUGUAUUUUUGGA